AAACCUUUAACAUCAUUUUCUUUUAACACAAAGAUGCAUGUUUAUGAUAAAUAUGAUUUAAUAAAAUAUUUUAUGCAUGUUUAUGAUGACCUAAUGUUCAGCCAAAGGAUAAGAUAACUUAAACUUUGUCCUUACAUUGGUUCUACCAAACGACCUACGUCUUGGGUCUUCGGUCUUGAACUUCUUUGGCUCGUUCAUGCAAUUCCGUCAUCAGUAUGCUUC
rnacentral:lncRNA from 1 species